AUUGAACGCUGGCGGCAGGCCUAACACAUGCAAGUCGAACGAGUGGCGGACGGGUGAGUAAUGUCUGGGAAAAUGCCUGAUGGAGGGGGAUAACUACUGGAAACGGUAGCUAAUACCGCAUACCCUCCUAUGUGCCCAGAUGGGAUUAGCUAGUAGGUGGGGUAAAGGCUCACCUAGGCGACGAUCCCUAGCUGGUCUGAGAGGAUGACCAGCAACACUGGAACUGAGACACGGUCCAGACUCCUACGGGAAGCAGCAGUGGGGAAUAUUGCACAAUGGGCGCAAGCCUGAUGCAGCCAGGCCGCGUGUAUGAAGAAGGCCUUCGGGUUGUAAAGUACUUUCAGCGGGGAGGCGGUACCCGCAGAAGAAGCACCGGCUAACUCCGUGCCAGCAGCCGCGGUAAUAC
rnacentral:rRNA from 1 species